rnacentral:rRNA from 1 species
CAGUAGCCGCGGGAACACAGAGGGUGCGAGCGUUAAUCGGAUUUACUGGGCGUAAAGCGUGCGUAGGCGGCUUCUUAAGUCGGAUGUGAAAUCCCUGAGCUUAACUUAGGAAUUGCAUUCGAUACUGGGAUGCUAGAGUAUGGGAGAGGAUGGUAGAAUUCCAGGUGUAGCGGUGAAAUGCGUAGAGAUCUGGAGGAAUACCGAUGGCGAAGGCAGCCAUCUGGCCUAAUACUGACGCUGAGGUACGAAAGCAUGGGGAGCAAACAGGAUUAGAUACCCCGGUAGUCCCUGUCUCUUAUAC